rnacentral:rRNA from 1 species
UACGGAGGAUGCGAGCGUUAUCCGGAUUUAUUGGGUUUAAAGGGUGCGUAGGCGGAGCGCCAAGUCAGCGGUAAAAUUGCGGGGCUCAACCCCGUCCGGCCGUUGAAACUAGGUGCCCUUCGAGUGAGCGAGAGGUAUGCGGAAUGCGUGGUGUAGCGGUGAAAUGCAUAGAUAUCACGCAGAACCCCGACUUGCGAAGGCAGCAUACCGGUGCUCAACUGACGCUGAGGCACGAAAGCGUGGGGAUCGAACAGGAUUAGAAA